UACAAUUAACUUAUUUCAUUAGAAUAGUAAUCAGGACCAGCCCAGGUGGCUCAGCGGUUUAGCGCCACCUUCAGCCCAGGGCCUGAUCCUGGAGACCUGGGAUUGAGUCCCACAUCAGGCUCCUGCAUGGAGCCUGCUUCUCCCUCUGCCUGUGUCUCUGCCUCUCUCUCUGUGUCUCUCAUGAAUAAAUAAGUAAAAUCUUUAAAAAUAGAAUAAGAUAAAAUAGUUAUCAGAAAUGGAAUUAUUGAGUCAAAGGAUAUGGUUUUCUUCCUAAGUAACAGUGUUUAAGCCAGAUAAACAGUUCCUGUCUAAGAACUGCAGCUCUCAGCCUCCCUUCCAGCUAUGUGUGGCCGUGUUAGCAGAUUUCUACAUCUCUAGCUUAAGAAAAGAUUGCUAGUCCUAGACUUCUUUUUUCCCCCUUUAUGCAAGCUGAAACCCAGACUUGCCUGUGACCUAGCUUCAACCACACAGCUUUAACACUUAGAAAAUCGGAAAGGAAGAGAGUGGAAAGAACCAGAACCCUAAAUGACCACAGAAAGCAGAGCUGCCCCUCCAACUUAGACUACUCAUUUUUAAUCUGUUGUAUGAGACAGAAAAACUUUUUUAAAAUUCUUAGACACUUCAUUUGGUACCUCUUUGUCACAGUAUCUUAGGCUCUAACCUAACUAGUACAAAUAGUUGCAAUUUUUUAAUAUUGCAGCAUAAUUCAUAUUGCCCAAUGACUUAGCAGGAAGCCAAAAAUCAAGUGGCAUUUCCACCAAUGUGUACAAGAUUACAUUUUUUACUGCAUUCUUGUCAACGUUGAAGCUUAUUUCUUUUUUUAAAAAAUCUACUAAUUUGAUAAAGGAAAAAUAAUAUUCUAUUUUUUAGUACGAAUAAAUUAAACAUGAUUCAAUAUUCAUUAUCCAUAGGCAUUCCAUCUUUUGAGAAGUGUCUGUUCAUGUUUGUUUGUUUAAGUAACCUCUACACCUGGGGUUUCUUUUUUAAUCACUUUUAUUUUUUUAUUUUUUAAAGAUUAUUUAUUUAUUCAUUUCAGAGAGAGAAGAGGCAGAGACACAGGCAGAGGGGGGCAGGCUCCAUGCAGGGAGCCCGACAUGGGACUCGAUCCCAGGUCUCCAGGAUCACACCCCGGGCUGCAGGGAGCGCUAAACUGGUGCGCCACCGGGUCUGCCCUGCACCUGGGGCUUAAACUCACAACCCUGAGAUCGAGUUGCAUGCUUUACUGACUGAGCCAGUCAGGCACCCUUGUUCAUGUUGUUUUUAUUUUUGUUAGAAUUCUGUUACUUUUCUUGCCCAUUCUGUUGACCUUUAUAGUUUGUCUUUCAAUUCUGCAUUCAGGAAAACAUGUUGAAAUGUUGUCUUAUCAUCAAGUUUGUAAUUUUUCUAUUGAAAUUUGUUCCUUUGAAAUCUUUCUUAAUGCCCACAUUUUGAACCCUAAAUACCAUUUCCCACUAAAAAGAACUGGGACUCUUUGGGAAAAAAGCUGAUGUCAGAUCCAAAGGUAGAAAAUUUAUAAGGUAAGCUUAAGAUAUCAUUUUAUGCCAGAAAGUAAGGAAACUAUUGAAGAGCAUAGGCAUCAUGUCAAAGGACAUGGGAAUCAAUCUGGGGAGGCUCCUACAGGCCAACUUUAUCUAGGUACUGCGGCUAUACAAAAAAUGACAUCAAACUGACUCAAAACACUUAUUUUAAAAACUCAAUAAACAGGGCACCUGGCUGGCUCAGUCAGAAGAGCAUGUGACUCUUGAUCUCAGGGGUCGUGAGUUCGAGCCUCAUGUUGGGUGUAGAGAUUACCUGAAUAAAUAAAACUUAAAAAGAAACUUCAAUAAACAAAAAAAAAUAAAAACAACACUUGUUAUUCUCGUAAAUUUUCAGUAUGGGCAGAGUUCAGUGGGUCAGCUGGGGUCCACUGUACUCGGCAUCAAUUGAGCAGCUCAAAAGCUAGAGGUUGAAAUCUUCUGAAGGCUCACUCAAUCAUUCACAAGUUUGUUGCCUGACCUGGAACAGGUAAGGGAUGGAAGAAUUAGGACUCCUUAGUCAUCUCUCUAUAUCUCCAUGUUCUCUUUCCAUAUGCUUUCUCUUACCAAAUGUGGUGGCUUCAGGGUGAAUGCAUUUCACUGAAAUCACAUAUACCAAGAGUGCUGGGCAGAAACAAUGGAGAAGUGUCAACAUCACAUUAUAAGAAGAACGUGUGGGACUAAAUAUAUUAGUGUAACCUUCUUAGGUAAAUACAAUCUGUAACAGCAUCAUAAAGAUACCAUCACUGAUUAAUGCACUUAAAUAUAUAAAAAUCCUAAUAAUACUUUCACACAAAAAGAAAAAAAAAAUACAUUCACCAAGAGUUGAGAUGACAGUUAUACCAAGUCCUUAUGCAAAAAUUGGUAAAGAGAAAAGGGUUUAUGUAUUAUUUCUUUACCAUAUGGAACUCUAUUUCAGAGUUAACAAUCGGCUCCAGUUGAUGAGGGGAAGCUCUUCUUGACAUAAGAAUCCUAAUUAGUAAAUGCAAAAGGAUUGACAGAAUUGGAAAAAUCACCAUUUUGCAAUCUAUAAUGGAAUAAUCAGUUCAGUCAAGAAUCAGCAAUGAGUGCUAAAAGCAUUGAGGACAGGGGCACCUGGCUGGCUCAGUUGGUGGAAUGUGUGACUCUUGAUCUUGAGGUCGCGAGUUCAAGCCCUACAUUGGGUGUAGAGAUUACUUUAAAAAACAAAAAGCAUUGAGCAUAAGGCUGACAAAGUUGUCGACACACAGAUUAUUUACUUAUCUCAAGAGGAAAACUCAUAACUUCCCAAUGGAGCAAUGUGGCAGUUUUCACAUUAAUCAUGAAUCCAAUGAUGGAGGAUAACAUCAUAAAGACAAUGAGUCGUACACAACUCCUGAUAUGAUACAAUGUUUACAGAAUCACUCAUGAAAUAUUCUUUUUUAUUAUUAUUAUUCAUGAGAGACACAGGGAAAGAGAGAGAGAGAGGCAGAGACACAGGCAGAGGGGGGCAGGCUCCAUGCAGGGAGCCCGACCUGGGACUCAAUCCUGGGUCUCCAGGAUCAGGCCCUGGGCCAAAGGCGGCGCUAAACUGCUGAGCCCCCCAGGCUGCCCUGAAAUAUUCUUGACAAGAAUGUUUUACCUGACACCUCAUUUUAGUCACAACUUUAAUUGGAAAUGUCCAGUUUAUAGGAAAUACAGUGGAGAGUAAACUAAAAUUUCAAUGAAAGUAAUGGUAUACAUCCAGAAGUUAGAAUUCUACCAGAAUAUUGACCCAGUCUUUUCAACAAGAAAAUAUAAUGGAGCUCUGGUUCAAGAUGGAAAGAUAGGAAGAUAACGACCUCAUCCUCCUCCUGCAGACUCGCCAAAGCUAUAGCUAUAUAUAGAACAAUAUCCUCUGGAAAAAAGAAAAAAAAAAAACCUCUAUAAACUGGAAACAAGUAACCUCUGGUGAAACAACCCAGGAGUCAGGAAUAACUCAAAACAGGGGCAGCCCAGUGGCUCAGUGGUUUAGCGCCGCCUUCAGCCCAGGGCCUGAUCCUGGAGGCCCGGGAUAGAGUCCCACAUUGAGCUCUCUGCAUGGAGCCUAUUUCUCCCUCUGCCUGUGUCUCUGCCUCUCUCUCUCUCUCUCUCUCUCUCUCUGUGUGUCUCUCAUGAAUAAAUAAAUAAAAUCUAAAAAAAAAAAAAA
rnacentral:tRNA from 1 species